AACGAACGCUGGCGGCAGGCUUAACACAUGCAAGUCGAACGCAUCCUUCGGGGUGAGUGGCAGACGAGUGAGUAACGCGUGGGAACGUGCCCUUCAGUUCGGGAUAACCCAGGGAAACUUGGGCUAAUACCGGAUACGUGCGAGAGCACAAAGAUUUAUCGCUGAAGGAUCGGGCCGCGUCUGAUUAGCUAGUUGGUGGGGUAAUGGCCCACCAAGGCGACGAUCAGUAGCUGGGCUGAGAGGAUGAUCAGCCACAUUGGGACUGAGACACGGCCCAAACUCCUACGGGAGGCAGCAGUGGGGAAUAUUGGACAAUGGGCGCAAGCCUGAUCCAGCCAUGCCGCGUGAGUGAUGAAGGCCUUAGGGUUGUAAAGCUCUUUCGUCCGGGACGAUAAUGACGGUACCGGAAGAAGAAGCCCCGGCUAACUUCGUGCCAGCCGCCGCCGUAA
rnacentral:rRNA from 1 species